UAGGGAAUCUUCCACAAUGGGCGAAAGCCUGAUGGAGCAACGCCGCGUGAGUGAGGAAGGCUUUCGGGUCGUAAAGCUCUGUUGCCAGGGAAGAAUAAGAGCCAGUUAACUGCUGGCUCGAUGACGGUACCUGAGAAGAAAGCCCCGGCUAACUACGUGCCAGCAGCCGCGGUAAUACGUAGGGGGCAAGCGUUGUCCGGAUUUAUUGGGCGUAAAGCGCGCGCAGGCGGUUCUUUAAGUCUGGUGUCUAAGUGCGGGGCUCAACCCCGUGAUGCACUGGAAACUGGGGAACUUGAGUGCAGAAGAGGAGAGCGGAAUUCCACGUGUAGCGGUGAAAUGCGUAGAGAUGUGGAGGAACACCAGUGGCGAAGGCGGCUCUCUGGACUGUAACUGACGCUGAGGCGCGAAAGCGUGGGGAGCAAACA
rnacentral:rRNA from 1 species